rnacentral:rRNA from 1 species
CGGCGUGCCUAACACGUGCAAGUCGAACGUGAGAUAUUAGAUGAAGCUUGCGAUUCUGAUAUUUUAGUGGCGGACGGGUGAGUAACGCGUGGGUAACCUGCCCAUAAGUGGGGAAUAACAGUUGGAAACGACUGCUAAUACCGCAUACCUUGAGCAAUCAAGAAAGGUGGCCUCUUAACAAUGCUGCCGCUUAUGGAUGGGCCCGCGUCUGAUUAGCUAGUUGGUGGGGUAAAGGCCUACCAAGGCGACGAUCAGUAGCCGGCCUGAGAGGGUGAACGGCCACACUGGGACUGAGACACGGCCCUGACUCCUACGGGAGGCAGCAGUGGGGAAUAUUGCGCAAUGGGGGAAACCCUGACGCAGCGACGCCGCGUGAGCGAUGAAGGCCUUCGGGUUGUAAAGCUCUGUUUUAAGGGACGAAUGUUCAUGUGAGUAACUGCAUAUGAAAUGACGGUACCUUAAGAGGAAGCCCCGGCUAACUACGUGCCAGCAGCCGCGGUAAGACGUAGGGGGCGAGCGUUGUCCGGAAUUACUGGGCGUAAAGAGCACGUAGGCGGGAACUUAAGUCAGGUGUGAAAGACCGGGGCUCAACUCCGGGGUGCCACUUGAAACUGGGUUUCUUGAGGGCAGGAGAGGGAAGCAGAAUUCCUGGUGUAGCGGUGAAAUGCGUAGAAAUCAGGAGGUAUACCAGUGGCGAAGGCGGCUUUCUGGACUGACCCUGACGCUGAGGUGCGAAAGCGUGGGUAGCAAACAGGAUUAGAUACCCUGGUAGUCCACGCUGUAAACGAUGGAUACUAGGUGUAGGAGGUAUCGACCCCUUCUGUGCCGCAGCUAACGCAAUAAGUAUCCCGCCUGGGGAGUACGAUCGCAAGG